AGAGUUUGAUCCUGGCUCAGAACGAACGUUGGCGGCGUGGAUGAGGCAUGCAAGUCGAACGAGAAAGGCGCAAGCCGAGUAAAGUGGCGGACGGGUGAGUAACACGUGACUGAGCAACCCUCGAGACGGGGAUAACCAUGGGAAACUGUGGCUAAGACCCGAUGGUUCUGUUGAGCUGCAUGGCUUGACAGAUAAAUGCCUGGGACCUUUCGGGGCCAGGUGCUCGAGGACGUGGUCACGGCCUAUCAGCUAGUUGGCGGGGUAAUGGCCCACCAAGGCAACGACGGGUAGCCGGCCUGAGAGGGUGGUCGGCCACAUUGGGACUGAGACACUGCCCAGACUCCUACGGGAGGCUGCAGUCGAGGAUCUUCCGCAAUGGGCGCAAGCCUGACGGAGCGACGCCGCGUGGAGGACGAAGGCCUUCGGGUUGUAAACUCCUGUCGAGGGUUAUGAAAGUCCAGGAUCUAAUAGGGACUGGUAUGACGUAAGCCCUGAAGGAAGCACCGGCUAACUCUGUGCCAGCAGCCGCGGUAAUACAGAGGGUGCAAACGUUGUUCGGAAUCACUGGGCAUAAAGCGCACGUAGGCUGCCAUGUAAGUGUCGGAUGAAAUCCCACGGCUUACCCGUGGAACUGUCCGGCAUACUGUGUGGCUCGAGGAUGGUAGAGGAGAGCGGAACUCUUGGUGGAGCGGUGAAAUGCGUAGAUAUCAAGAGGAACACCGGUGGCGAAGGCGGCUCUCUGGUCCAUUACUGACGCUGAGGUGCGAAAGCUAGGGGAGCAAACGGGAUUAGAUACCCCG
rnacentral:rRNA from 1 species